CGCGUAGGUGGUGGGGUAAGUCGGAUGUGAAAUCCCCGAGCUCAACUCGGAAAUGGCAUUGGAAACUACCCUGCUAGAGGGUCGGAGGGGGGACUGGAAUGCUUGGUGUAGCAGUGAAAUGCGUAGAUAUCAAGCGGAACACCAGUGGCGAAGGCGAGUCCCUGGACGACUCCUGACACUGAGGCACGAAAGCUAGGGAGCAAACA
rnacentral:rRNA from 1 species